CAGAGCCAUCAAAUGCUCCCCAUACAUUAACCCUUUCGUUCCUGGGAUCUUUCACAUUACCUUUCUCUGGGCCCUCUCUAAUGUCAGCACAUCCUUUCUUAGAUACAGGGCCCAAAACUGCCCACAAUACCCCAAGCAUGGUUUACCCAGUGCCUUAUGAAGCCUCCAUAUUGUGUUAUCUUGAGUAUUGAGCCUCCCUAUGAUUUCCUCCAGAAACUUUAAAACUAUGCCCAUUCAUGCUAGCCAUUGCCACCCUGCAAAAAAACUACUUGGCUAUUUAUUUAUUGUAUCAUGACUGAUUGUGCAUGUAACCGCGUAACAUGAAUGUUUAGUCUCCAUUCGGGGUUCAGCAUGUGUAUACGUUUUAGAUGAGAUGUAUUCACUUACAUUGUCGCUGUGAUGUAUAAGAUACGGGGUUGGGGGGAUUCUAAUGUUGUUUGUAUUGUGUUUCUUCAGAAUUGCCGCUACUGUAUUAGUUUUGUGUGAUUUUCUUUGUAUUUUUAUACUGUAUACGCAAUUGGUCGAGACACAAGUGUGUGGACUGAAGGUUAAACGGAGAUUGUAACAGCAGGUCCUGAUUGUAAAGUCUUUCGUUUUGUCUUAAGACCCUCUCCUGGCACUUAAACAUCUAAAACAGAUAAAGGAAAUAAAACUCAAAAAAGGUAGUUGUUGUCCUGAGUGUGUACUUUUCCCCGGGCUACAACAUAUAUCUCUUUUUGUACACCUCUAUCAAAUCACUUCUCAUCCUCCUUCUCUCCAAAGAGAAGAAACAUAGAACAUAGAAAAUACGUGCAAGACUAGGCCGUUCAGCCCUUUGAGCCUGCACCACCAUUCAGUAUGUUCAUGGCUGAUCAUCCAACUCAGAACCCUGUACCUGCUUUCUCUCCAUACCCCCGAUCCCUUUAGCCACAAAGGCCAUAUCUAACUUCCUCUUAAAUAUAGCCAAUGAACCGUCCUCAACUGUUACCUGUGGCAGAGAAUUCCACAGAUUCAUCGCUCUCUGUGUGAAGAAGUUUUUCCUCAUCUCGGUCCUUAAACUGUGACCCCUCGUUCUGGACUUCUCCAACAUUGGAAACAAUCUUCCUGCAUCCAGCCUGUCCAAUCCCUUUAGAAUUUUAUACAUUUCAAAAAGAUCCCCCUCAAUCUUCUAAAUUCCAGUGAGUAUAAGCCUAGUCGAUCCAAUCUUUCUUGAUAUGAAAGUCCUGCCAUCCCAGGAAUCAAUCUGGUGAACCUUCUUUGUACUCCUUCUAUGGCAAGAGCCCUAGCUUGUUCAACCUAACCUUAGAAGACAUGUUCUCCAGUCCAGGCAGCAUCCUGUUUUUAUCCUUCGCUGCGUCUUGUUGUGUAUCAGGUGACAACUUUGCUGCUUCUUCAGCAUUUGUCUUGUUUUUUUACGAGACUGAGUUGCCAGCUUGAUGCUCAACCCAGCACAGAUGGAAAGCUUGCAAGGAGGAGGUUGGAUUCAAACUCGGGACCACUCGCCUCGAAGUCUGGGUGAAAUGCCACUACACCAGCAGCCGGGACACAUCCUGUGUACUGCUAUGAAACAGCAACAUCCACAGCAUUUGCCAGUGGUAUUAAACCUGAUUCUGAUUGGACGGUGAAUUUGAUGAAGUAUCUGAAGAGAAACAGUGCAAGUAAUUAACAGCCAUCAAGGCCAUUAACCAGAGGCCACAGAUGGUAACAAGAUCAAAGAUGAAAAGUAAUGGUUUAUUUUUGCAUCGCAUCUUGUUAUGAUUUGAAACGCAUUGCCAGAAGGAAUAAUGAGGCAGAUUUGAAUGUUACUUUCAAAAGGCUGUUUGACUUAUGUUGAUUAAAGUGUGGAACAGACCAAAGAAACAGGAUAAAUUGGAUAUCUCUUUCAAAGACCUGGCAUCACCACAGAGACCGAAAUGUCCUCCUGGAAUAUAUAAUUUUAAGAGUUCAUUAUCAAAGAUCGAAACGUGAAGGUCAAUCGGAAGUGCAGUAGAAGAAGCCCAGUGGCAAAUUCUUGUAUCUACAAGUCUGAAUUGCACUGGGGAAGUUGAAGGACCAUUGUCUGCUGGUCUGUAUGCCUACUGGGGGCUGGAGGCCCGUAGAACUGUCCUGGGGUUGGAGGACUGUCUGUGUGUGUGAGUGUAUGUGUGGGAGGGAGGAAUGGGACUUGUUUUGGUGUUGCUUUUUUGCUUGUUCUGUUCUGUUUUCUUCUGUUGAGCAUUGUGGGCAUGCUGUGUUGAUUCUGGAAUGUGUGGCGACACCUUCUUAACACAUCGCUAGGUUAACACUAAUGACACAUCUCACUAACAUACGAGAUUCUGUUGAUGCUGGAAAUCCAGAUCAACACACACAAAAUGCUGGAACAACGCCUGCAGGUCAGACAGCUUACAUGGAAAUACUUUCUACACUGAUAAGAGCCCUCAGUCCAAAACUUUGAUCGUUUAUUCCUCUCCUUAGAUGGUGCCUGACCCGAUGAGUUCCUCCAGCAUUUUGUAUGUGUGUUACUCUGACAUAUUCAUUGUAUGUUUCAAUAUACUUUAUAUAUGAUGAAUAAUUCAAUCUGAAUCAGAAUCGGAAUAUUUUUUCUCUUCUCUCACUGAAGGCAAUAUGUCCAGAGAUCCAGGUUACUGAUAUGAAAAACUGAGUUCAAGAUCACCCAAGCAAGCUUAGGGAGAUAAAUUCAGGUUUAACUAGAAAGGAUUGAAGGUAGUGGAGAAGGAAAGGUCAGUGCCUUUAAGCCGUUCUGUUUCGUGAAUUCUUCGUGGGAAGUUCGACGUCGGGGAUCGAAGCAAGCGACGUGAAAGAGAACCUAAAUCGUCUUAUAAAGUCUCUCCUUUUAAAUGGACUGUGAGCAUAUCGAACAUUUGGCAAUACCACUUUAAAGAACUGUUUUUGGAAUAUCACUUUACGAACUGUUUGGGCUGCCGCUCAGCAGCUGUUUCCAGUUACAGUAGUGUUUGUUUA